rnacentral:rRNA from 1 species
UGAGUAACACGUAUCCAACCUGCCGUCUACUCUUGGACAGCCUUCUGAAAGGAAGAUUAAUCCAGGAUGGCAUCAUGAGUUCACAUGUCCGCAUGAUUAAAGGUAUUUUCCGGUAGACGAUGGGGAUGCGUCCCAUUAGAUAGUAGGCGGGGUAACGGCCCACCUAGUCAACGAUGGAUAGGGGUUCUGAGAGGAAGGUCCCCCACAUUGGUACUGAGACACGGACCAA